UUAGUGGCGGACGGGUGAGUAACGCGUGGGUAACCUGCCUUACACAGGGGGAUAACACUUAGAAAUAGGUGCUAAAACCGCAUAAGCGCACAGCUUCGCAUGAAGCGGUGUGAAAAACUCCGGUGGUGUAAGAUGGACCCGCGUCUGAUUAGCUUGUUGGCGGGGUAACGGCCCACCAAGGCGACGAUCAGUAGCCGGCCUGAGAGGACGGACGGCCACAUUGGGACUGAGACACGGCCCAGACUCCUACGGAAGGCAGCAG
rnacentral:rRNA from 1 species